CACUCCCUAUACCAUUCGAACCAUUGGAAUUAUCUUAAUAAAAUUCAUCAAUAUGCUCAUAAAUCUUCAGAUGAUAUAAAUAUAUAUAUAUAUAUAUCUGCGCUGAGAUUAAGCAUAUUUAGCCUUUAGACGCUCAAGAAGAGUUGCAGCAAAAUGUCAUCUACCCAGAAGCCAUUUCGGAAGAGCAAGGUUGCAUCAGACCAGACUGAGAUGUGUGCUCCCAAUGCUGCUGGGAUUUGCAUCCCCAAAACGCAAAUGCAGAGUUCCAAGAAAGCUAAUUUAAAGCAAGAAGACAAGAAGGCUCGCGACCCUAAGAAGAAGGGUUCAACCGGCAAUUUGGAACAAGCCAUAGAGAUUACAAUUCAGUGAGAUGUGUAUGCACACACAUAUGUGCGCGGAAACUAGCUUGUAAUUAAUAUAUGCCUUUGUAUGUAUGCUUGUGAUAGGUUAUGUCAAGCAUUUGGACCUUCGCAGUUCUCUGUGUCACAUAGAGCAACUAUGGAUAAGUAUAUUAAAGAGAUAAAUAUAAAUUAAAAUUA